ACACGCAUGACACACUGCAUAUCAAUAAGCGGAGGAAAAGAAACUAACAAGGAUUCCCCUAGUAACGGCGAGUGAAGCGGGAAGAGCUCAAAUUUGAAAUCUUCAAGGUUUGACCUUGACGAAUUGUAGUUUAAAGAAGUGUUUUCGGUUAGAGGAGUAGUAAAAGUUCUUUGGAAUAGGACAUCAUAGAGGGUGAGAAUCCCGUAUUUGACUAUUACUUCCAGCGUUGUGAUACACUUUCAAAGAGUCGGAUUGUUUGGGAAUGCAGUCCAAAAUGGGUGGUAAAUUUCAUCUAAAGCUAAAUAUUGGCGAGAGACCGAUAGCGAACAAGUACCGUGAGGGAAAGAUGAAAAGAACUUUGAAAAGAGAGUUAAACAGUACGUGAAAUUGUCAAAAGGGAAGCGUUUGACACCAGUGUUGUUUUUCCGAAAAUCAAUUACGAAUGUUUUAUUUUUGAGAAGUUAUGACUUCAUCGGCUUGCUUCUCUCUUUAUGAAACUUUCUUAAUGCACUUUUCGGUUAACAAGUCAACAUCAGUUUCUUUUGUUGUAAAAGGGUCAUUGGAAGGUGGCUUUCUUUUCGGAGAAAGUGUUUAUAGCCUUGUGCCUCUGCAAUCGGAGAGAUUGAGGUCUGCAGCGUAGAUCCUUCGGGGUUAGAUACGCUUGUGCUAAGUUAUAGCUUUUCAUAGACAACUUGUUGACUAUGUUUAGUCUUGUAGCUUACUCGCUGACGCUAUUUUACCUACGCUUAGGAUGUUGAGCGCAUGUCUCUCUCU
rnacentral:rRNA from 1 species